GGUCCGGUAAGACCCCUUUUUGGCCCCAAAAUAUAACAGUUUUACAAAAUUGUUAAAAUGUAAACUUUUAGUUAUUUAUUGGACAGUUGAAUGCUUCUGCUACAAACCUAUGGGCUGUUUUUGACAAUACAAUGCACAUAUAUCGGGUUGUAGCACCAUUAAGUCAUGCUAAAUUACUGAAAUCUUCAAAAUUCUAUCAUUUUAGUUAAAUUUUAGACGGUUUCCCUGUAAAACGAAAGUGGCCGCAUUCGUGUUCAUCCUUAAUAUUGAAAUGUAAGUUGUAUUUUAUGAUAAUACAUAACAUAUAUAAAGGUUGUGGAUGAACACGGAUGCGGCCACUUUCAU
rnacentral:lncRNA from 1 species